GCCAUUAUAAUCAACCAAAAUGAUUAAGUUGAGUUUAUACAGGAUAAAACAAAAUCUAAAACUACUAGAGAAGCAUACAGAAAUACUUAUCAUCCACAAAGUAUCAGCUGAGAUCAUACGCAUGUUCACAGAAAUAAACACACACACACACACACACACCCUUUAACCAAUAAAGGGAAAUGCAUUUGAAUUCAUGCCACCACGAAAAACAUCAAAAUGAGCAACACACUACAAGCACAUGGAUAUCAAUAUGACACAGAUUAGAAUUCACUUCCCACCAACACUUGCAGUUAAUCAGUUACAAAACCAACAGACCCAAAUAAUAAAGUUUUUAUAAAAUUUCAUAUAAAAACACUAAUCCCCUUGAAACAAGGGAAACACCAAAUAACAUCAUGAUUAAUUAUGACUAACAGACCAUAUACAUAAUGAUUCAGUAUGUUAAAACAAAUCAAUGAUAAUAUUAAUCAGCCAUUUAACUAACCUAGGGUUUAUAGUAAGACCAACACAAACAGCAAAAGCUAUGUGAAUACCACUUAACACUCCUCUAUGUUUGAUCAACAUAAAUACAAUAAAGCCAAUAAUACUGACAAACUUUGUCUAACCAGUACUGUUUGGCAGCUGAAAAAAUGAAUCGAAAGAAAAGAAGGAAAAACAGUUAGAAAAAAAUUCAAUUAUACCUCCUUUUUUAUUAUUUUUUAGACACCAAACCAGCUUAACACAAAUAAAACCUUUUACUACAACUUGCCGCUGUCAGAAAUUGAACACUUGAUAACAGAAAAUCAUACAAAAAUCCACAUAUUCAGAUAUCAACAAUAAUCCAAAUACGAAAUUGUUAGAGACAAACAAUAAAUAUUAGAUCUACAUCGAUUGUAGCAACAGAAUCAUUAAGGAACACAGAUCCAGCACAGAUCUAAUAAGGCGCCGGUAAUCAGAAAUCAAAAACAACAAAAACAAUAUCAGAACUAUGUAACACAACAAAAAAUUAAAAACAUACAACCGAUUUAUUCGCAGAACAGAUCAGGAAGACCAAGAUUCGGUAUACACGGACACAGUAAACAACAAAAAUGGACAUGGAGAUAGUUUUUCAUAUAAGAUUCACAGUUCUUAAAAGAAUAAUAUAAACACUUUACACAUUCAGAACCCAAAGAGGCAAACAGAUUCGAUUAAAAUCCAUCUUCAAUCAGAAAACCCAGAUGCAAAAACAACAAAAAUCAAAAGAAACAAGGUGUUCCAGUUCAGAAACAUAAUUUUUGUGGACAAAAAUCUGCAGAUUUACGAUUGGAUUAGAAAAUAAUUUUUUUUU
rnacentral:lncRNA from 1 species